rnacentral:rRNA from 1 species
AGUGAACGCUGGCGGUAGGCCUAACACAUGCAAGUCGAACGGCAGCACAGUAAGAGCUUGCUCUUACGGGUGGCGAGUGGCGGACGGGUGAGGAAUACAUCGGAAUCUACUUUUUCGUGGGGGAUAACGCAGGGAAACUUACGCCAAUACCGCAUACGACCUACGGGUGAAAGCAGGGGAUCUUCGGACCUUGCGCGAUUGAAUGAGCCGAUGUCGGAUUAGCUAGUUGGCGGGGUAAAGGCCCACCAAGGCGACGAUCCGUAGCUGGUCUGAGAGGAUGAUCAGCCACACUGGAACUGAGACACGGUCCAGACUCCUACGGGAGGCAGCAGUGGGGAAUAUUGGACAAUGGGCGCAAGCCUGAUCCAGCCAUACCGCGUGUGUGAAGAAGGCCUUCGGGUUGUAAAGCCCUUUUGUUGGGAAAGAAAAGCAGCAGGUUAAUACCCCGCUGUUCUGACGGUACCCAAAGAAUAAGCACCGGCUAACUUCGUG